rnacentral:rRNA from 1 species
AUUGAACGCUGGCGGCAGGCCUAACACAUGCAAGUCGAGCGAGCGGCGGACGGGGGAGUAAUGUAUGGGGAUCUGCCCGAUAGAGGGGGAUAACUACAGGAAACGGUGGCUAUUACCGCAUACCAUCCGAGGUGCCCACAUGGGAUUAGCGAGUAGGUGGGGUAACGGCGUACCUAGGCGACGAUCCCUAGCUGGUCUGAGAGGGUGACCAGCCACAAUGGGACUGAGACACGGCCCAGACUCCUACGGGAGGCAGCAGUGGGGAAUAUUGCACAAUGGGCGCAAGCCUGAUGCAGCCAUGCCGCGUGUAUGAAGAAGGCCUUAGGGUUGUAAAGUACUUUCAGUGGGGAGGCGUUACCGACAGAAGAAGCACCGGCUAACUCCGUGCCAGCAGCCGCGGUAAUAC